rnacentral:rRNA from 1 species
AGUGAACGCUGGCGGUAGGCCUAACACAUGCAAGUCGAACGGCAGCACAGUAAGAGCUUGCUCUUACGGGUGGCGAGUGGCGGACGGGUGAGGAAUACAUCGGAAUCUACUUUUUCGUGGGGGAUAACGUAGGGAAACUUACGCUAAUACCGCAUACGACCUACGGGUGAAAGCAGGGGAUCUUCGGACCUUGCGCGAUUGAAUGAGCCGAUGUCGGAUUAGCUAGUUGGCGGGGUAAAGGCCCACCAAGGCGACGAUCCGUAGCUGGUCUGAGAGGAUGAUCAGCCACACUGGAACUGUGCCACGGUCCAGACUCCUACGGAUGGCAGACGUGGCGAAUAAUGGACAAUGGGAGGAAGCCUGAACCAGCCAUCCCCAGAGAGUGCACAAGACCUUAGGGUUGUCAAGCACUUUUGUUAGGAAAGAAAAGCGGACGGUUAAUCCCCCGCUGUUCUGACGGUACCUCAUGAACCAGCCCCCGCUCACUUCGUA